UACGUAGGGGGCAAGCGUUGUCCGGAAUCAUUGGGCGUAAAGAGCGUGUAGGCGGCCCGGUAAGUCCGCUGUGAAAGUCCAGGGCUCAACCCUGGAAUGCCGGUGGAAACUGUCGGGCUAGAGUCCGGAAGAGGCGAGUGGAAUUCCUGGUGUAGCGGUGAGAUGCGCAGAUAUCAGGAGGAACACCAAUGGCGAAGGCAGCUCGCUGGGACGGUACUGACACUGAGGCACGAAAGCGUGGGGAGCAAACAGG
rnacentral:rRNA from 1 species